rnacentral:rRNA from 1 species
UACAGAGGUCUCAAGCGUUGUUCGGAUUCAUUGGGCGUAAAGGGUGCGUAGGAGGAAAGGUAAGUCAGUGGUGAAAUCUCCAAGCUUAACUUGGAAACUGCCGUUGAUACUAUCUUUCUUGAAUACCGUGGAGGUGAGCGGAAUAUGUCAUGUAGCGGUGAAAUGCUUAGAUAUGACAUAGAACACCAAUUGCGAAGGCAGCUCGCUACACGAAUAUUGACUCUGAGGCACGAAAGCGUGGGGAUCAAACAGG